GACGAACGCUGGCGGCGUGCUUAACACAUGCAAGUCGAGCGGUAAGGCCCUUUCGGGGGUACACGAGCGGCGAACGGGUGAGUAACACGUGGGUGACCUGCCCUUAGCUCUGGGAUAAGCCUGGGAAACUGGGUCUAAUACCGGAUAUGACCUCAUGACUCAUGUUGUGGGGUGGAAAGCCUUGUGCGGCUAGGGAUGGGCCCGCGGUCUAUCAGCUUGUUGGUGGGGUAAUUGCCUACCAAGGCGACGACGGGUAGCCGGCCUGAGAGGGCGACCGGCCACACUGGGACUGAGACACGGCCCAGACUCCUACGGGAGGCAGCAGUGGGGAAUCUUGCGCAAUGGGCGAAAGCCUGACGCAGCGACGCCGCGUGAGGGAUGACGG
rnacentral:rRNA from 1 species